GUAAAAAGUCAACAAACACAAACAAGCUUGUUAAUUUCAAAACAUAAACCGCAAUCUUCGAGUCUAUCAUACAAAUUCAAUGUUAAAUAACAACAUUGCUGGUAAAAAUAAUCAGGAUUCAUCCAGCUUACCACAAGAUGGGUAAAGCAUCAGCAUCGACGCUGAAUACUGGAGAAAUCGUGCUGUCGGCAAUAAAAAAACUUAUGAGGAAUACCGGUUGGACCGCACGGACUAUUAUCAAGUUUAUAAAAAUGGAGUACAGAGUUAGCGACCCUAAACUAAGUCGGAAGGUUUCAAGGGCGUUGAAACGUGGUGUCAAAUUGGGUCUGCUUCAAAUGGAGCGUGGCCGCUACAGACUCAACGAUAUGUCGCGGCUGGCGCGGCCGGUGA